rnacentral:rRNA from 1 species
GCACAAGCGGUGGAUGAUGUGGAUUAAUUCGAUGCAACGCGAAAACCUUACCUACCCUUGACAUGUCCGGAAUCCUGCAGAGAUGCGGGAGUGCCCGAAAGGGAAUCGGAACACAGGUGCUGCAUGGCUGUCGUCAGCUCGUGUCGUGAGAUGUUGGGUUAAGUCCCGCAACGAGCGCAACCCUUAUCAUUAGUUGCUACGCAAGGGCACUCUAAUGAGACUGCCGGUGACAAACCGGAGGAAGGUGGGGAUGACGUCAAGUCCUCAUGGCCCUUAUGGGUAGGGCUUCACACGUCAUACAAUGGUCGGUACAGAGGGUUGCCAAGCCGCGAGGCGGAGCCAAUCCCACAAAGCCGAUCGUAGUCCGGAUUGUUCUCUGCAACUCGAGAGCAUGAAGUCGGAAUCGUUAGUAAUCGCAGGUCAGCAUACUGCGGUGAAUACGUUCCCGGGUCUU